UUGACAUCAACAGAACCACUAAAGCUGGCACAGCCCUCCAUGAGGCCGCUCUCUAUGGGAAGACAGAGGUAGUGCGGCUACUCCUGGAUAAUGGGAUUGAUGUCAAUAUCCGUAACACUUACAAUCAAACAGCCCUGGACAUCGUCAACCAGUUCACCGCAUGCCACGCCAGCAAAGACAUUAAGCAGCUCUUACGAGAAGCUACAGGAGUUCUUCAGGUCAGAGCUCUGAAAGACUUCUGGAACCUUCACGACCCCACGGCCCUCACCAUACGCGCCGGUGAUGUCAUCACGGUGAUAGAGCAGCACGUGGACGGACGCUGGAAGGGCCACAUUCAUGACACCCAGAGGGGAACAGACAGAAUUGGCUACUUCCCCCCCUCCAUAGUCGAGGUCAUCAGCCGACGCUCAGGGGGCACCCUGUCACGACACGCCUCUCUGCCCACCCAUAGGCAGCAGCUGCUCUCCAGGUCCGCCCUCAGUCCCAGCUUGAGUCUGAGCGGGGGCGGGACCCCUCAAACUGACGACUCCUACACUCUGUACACCGCUAACCCACACUUGGUCCUCCCACACUCCAACGGUCUGAGCACCAACCCAGGUAUACCCACUCGGUCCCAUCUCUAAGGGUGCUUUCUCACACGUUUCCACCUGGUAUUAAGAUGUUUUCAGUGAUCCAAUUACAAAUGUGUCAGCUGAGACUCAUACUUUUUCCACCUGGCUUUAAAAUGGAUCUCCUGUGACCGCGGAUUUUCUUGAGACACCAUUUCGUCACGCUGUACAUCACUUUUGCGGGAGUGCUAAAUGUGUUAUAUGAAUACUGUUGACUGAACGAUCCAAUGUUAGGUGGUUUACAAGUUAUUGGGAAAGGAAGCAAAUAAAAAGGAUCUAGAAAGCAGCUGCGAUUUCAGUUUUGUUUUGGUACAACACAGCAGAGUUUGGUGGUUUUCUUACAACACGUCCAACAGUAUUAGGUCAGUAAGGCUGUUUAAAUGCAUUCAAACAUAUAAGCUUCUACACUAUAAAAGCAAAAAGGUUAAAUGCUUUUUUGACUAUUUCUUCACGUGGUUGAACGUGGAUAAGCUUAAAACCUUUUAGACCCCAAUUAUGCAUGUAUUUAAUGUUGUCCACUUGUGAUCGGAUCGGCGAAAACACAUCUUAAUACCAGGUGCAAACAAGGCCUAAAGCUAUUGAUGCGAACCUGAGUGUUUAAUGUCAGAGAUCAGUUUGUUCUGAGAGCACUUUUCUGAACUCUGUUGCACACCAGUGACUGGUAUGUAUAUGGUACACGUUUGUCCUCGCUAUACGUGGUCUCACGCUAUUUCACCAUGGUUAUGAACGCAAUAUGUGUGCAUUCAAAAUGGACCAUUCGCCAAGCACUUUUUUAACAUUUGCAGGGUAAUGAAUGGUUUAAACCCCUCCUCAGCUAACACACGGUCGAUUUUGUGUUUGCAGACAUGACGUAAACAUGCACUAUCGAAUGAUGCAAGCCUGCAACUUCCCUCCAAAUCUGACAUAACUCAUAACGUAAAUAAAACCUGUAGGCUUACCAUAGUGAAACAGGAUAGGACAAGAACCUGGUUUUGAACCACAGAUUUGUUGCUAUUUUAUGUAAUUUGUUCAUUCUUAACCACUGCUAAUGCAGUGCAAUUCUAGUGCAGCUUUAAAUGUUUAUACUCGCAUGUCAUUAGAUCCUUAAAAACAGUUCCUUGGCUUUUAAUAUGGGUUGGCAGUUUGACCAAAAUCUUAUAUACAGUAACAAUUGCGAUUAAGAUCACAAAUUUUUUAUUUUUGCUUAAAUAAAUGGUAUUAUAUAUUAAAUAACCAUGUGGUAUUGCUGUUUUGAAUUAAGUACUUCACUUAUUUUCUAGAUGUAAACAGGGUUCCCACUCUUUCAUGAACACCAGAUUCAAGGACUUUUUAAAGCACUAUUUAUUUAAUUUCAAGCACCUAUCAAGUUCACACCCCAGCAUAUGAAGCAUCAUGAAAGACCUGUUACAGUACUUAACUUUUCACUUACACUUAACAUUUACAUAAAACAUUUCAGAGUAAUGAGGUUUUGAAUGUGUUGGUUUCAAGCCACCACUUUGAGCAGUCGUGUUCAAAGGAAUUUAAUUAAAUCCAUUGAAGUCAAUGGA